rnacentral:lncRNA from 10 species
UUUUGAGAAAAGAAAAGCUUUUAUUGCAAGUUGAUUUACAAGGGGAUAGGAGUCCAGCUCAAAGCUGCCUCCCUGUACUGGCUUUAAGGCAGUAAUUUUAUUGGAAAAGGUUUAUGGGGUGGAAGGAAAGGGAGGUCCUUGGGCAGGCGCAGUUAUCCUUCAUGCCUCAUGGGUCGCAUGUGCAAAUCAGGAGACAUUAGUGUGAAACACGCGGUGGAAAUUUAGGCUUUGAUGUCUGAAAGCCUGCUCUGCACAGACUCCCAUUGGCCAUCUUGGUUCCAGCCAAUUUCAGCCAGUUUCUAAAAUCUCACAAGCGGAGGGAGUGUCAGCUUUUUAGGAAGUUGUUUCUUUUCUUACCUGCUAUCCUGCAAACUCAAGAAUUUCUGUUAGUCCCUGACGUCUUUAACUCCUUGGGGCAUAGUUUCGGAGGGACCCAUAGGGGCGGCAACACAGACGUGCGACCUGUGGGCUGCUGCCCAGGGCCUUGUGGGCAGAGGGUCCCUGUGCUCCAUUUAAUGCUCUGCUGUUGCUGUCUUGAAAUUCUUCAUAGUUUUCCAAUGGGGACUGCUCAUUGUCAUUCUCUCUUUUUUUUUUUGAGAUGGAGUUUCAUUCUUGUUGCCCAGGCUGGAGUGCAAUGGCAUGAUCUUGACUCACUGCAACCUCCACUUCCCAGUUUCA